ensembl:processed_transcript 1810010K12Rik RIKEN cDNA 1810010K12 gene
GUGCUUUGGGAGAAUAAUUAAGUUUAAUAGGAAUAGGUCUGGAGGGUUUUCAAUGCCAAGACCACAGGUGCGGGGUGGCAUGAUGAAUGAUUUGCCUGAUUUUUGCCAAGCUCAAGGGCUCUUCUCUUGGACUUUCAAGCAGAUAGAAAAUAUUGUCAUUUCUUUUAAUUCACAGCAUUACUUUCAAACCGAACAAAGGCCGGAGCCGGGGGGAGGCGGGGGAACGGCCCGGCUGUAAUGAAGCGCUUCAGAGGCGGAGGUACAGCCCAAGAGGCUGAGGCGGCGACGGAGCGCGCUGCUGCGUUUGUGCGCAAGUGACACUCCUGUGCCACACACAAAAGGCCUUCUUCUCUCCACCUUCUGCUGCCUUUCAGCCCUCGGGCCCCUGCCAAACCGGCUCAUAGGACGCCCGGGGGCUCCUGUCCCCCUAUCCAGGGCAACUUAGCCUUUGGGACAUCCGUCGCUGCCAAAGCAAACCUCGCCAAACUUUCCCCAAACUCGGACGGCUGGGGUGGGACCCUGGCUAGAGGCGCGCAUGCGCCCCGUCUGCUGCUGCCAGUUCCCAGGGUUCCGGAGAGCCGGGGUGGAGUCGGAGGUGUAGCCCCAGGGGCCUGCCUAACCCCUACUAUCCCCAAAGUCGGGGUUCGGGUGCCGUCUGUCCGCCCAGGAGGCAGGAAGCAGCUGCCCGGCACCAGCUCUCCACCAUUUUUCUACUUUUGCGCAUGGAAAUCUCCAAGAAGUGAUCCAAGAAGCGGCGAGUUGAACUGGGGGUCAUCGGCCUGGAAGAAGCCGGGAAUCGGAGCCCAGGACUACUUCUAAGGAGGCCCCAGGUCCCUGCGCCCCACUGGCCUGGCAGGGAGCCUCGGGCAUUCUUGCUGCUUGAGGUCGGGUAGCCAGGAACGCAGGUUGUUGGCAAGCUGGUUUUGCCUGGUGGCCUGAGCGCCCGCAUUAGCGGCCACAGUGGUCCAGGCACAACCUUCUUGCUGGUCCCACUUUCGGGCUCUUUGGGGUCUACUGUUGCUUCCCAGAGAGGCUUGGCCUCUGAAUGAUCCUCUCAGAUUAAUGUCAGCAGGUUUCCUGGUGUGUCCACAUCUGUUCCAAACAACCUGUUGCGCCGGCAUUGCGUUGGAAAGGCACUGGCACUUUGCUUGAGGGAAGCAGGCUGUGUUGCUGUCCGGGCUUCCAGGGCAGGCUUUAAGGUUCUCUCUUAAGGAGAGACACCCCUCUCCUCCUCCAGUGAUACCUGGUGUGCUUCACUCACCCUGUCCUUGUCCCAGCAACUCAAGGCACAUGGGCACCCUUAUACCUUGCCUCCUCUAGGG